AGAGUUUGAUCAUGGCUCAGAUUGAACGCUGGCGGCGUGCUUAACACAUGCAAGUCGAGCGGUAACAGGCGUAGCAAUACGUGCUGACGAGCGGCGAACGGGUGAGUAAUGCUUCGGAAUCUGCCUCGUAGUGGGGAAUAACUAACCGAAAGGUUAGCUAAUGCCGCAUACGACCUUAGGGUGAAAGCGGGGGAUCGCAAGACCUCGCGCUAUGAGAUGAGCCGAAGUCGGAUUAGCUAGUUGGUGAGGUAACGGCUCACCAAGGCGACAAUCCGUAGCUGGUCUGAGAGGACGACCAGCCACACUGGGACUGAGACACGGCCCAGACUCCUACGGGAGGCAGCAGUGGGGAAUAUUGGACAAUGGGGGCAACCCUGAUCCAGCGACGCCGCGUGUGUGAAGAAGGCCUGCGGGUUGUAAAGCACUUUUAGUGGGGACAAAAAGCUCAGGGCUAACACCUCUGGGUCUUGAUUUAACCCAAAGAAAAAGCACCGGCUAACUCUGUGCCAGCAGCCGCGGUAAUACAGAGGGUGCGAGCGUUAAUCGGAAUUACUGGGCGUAAAGCGUGCGUAGACGGUUUCGUAAGUCGGGUGUGAAAUCCCCGGGCUCAACCUGGGAAUUGCAUUCGAAACUGCGAGGCUAGGGUACGGAAGAGGGAAGCGGAAUUUCUGGUGUAGCGGUGAAAUGCGUAGAUAUCAGAAGGAACAUCAGUGGCGAAAGCGGCUUCCUGGUCCAGUACCGACGUUCAGGCACGAAAGCGUGGGGAGCAAACAGGAUUAGAUACCCCGGUAGUCC
rnacentral:rRNA from 1 species